rnacentral:rRNA from 1 species
AGAGUUUGAUCAUGGCUCAGAUUGAACGCUGGCGGUAUGCUUAACACAUGCAAGUCGAACGGAAACGAUGGUAGCUUGCUACCAGGCGUCAAGUGGCGGACGGGUGAGUAACGCGUAGGAAUCUGCCCAGUAGUGGGGGACAACCAGGGGAAACCCUGGCUAAUACCGCAUACACUCUACGGAGAAAAGGAGGCCUCUUCAAAAGCUUUCGCUAUUGGAUGAGCCUGCGUGAGAUUAGCUAGUUGGUAGGGUAAAGGCCUACCAAGGCGACGAUCUCUAGCUGGUCUGAGAGGACGAUCAGCCACACUGGGACUGAGACACGGCCCAGACUCCUACGGGAGGCAGCAGUGGGGAAUAUUGGACAAUGGGCGCAAGCCUGAUCCAGCAAUACCGCGUGUGUGAAGAAGGCCCUAGGGUUGUAAAGCACUUUCAGCAGUGAAGAAAUGCUCAAGGUUAAUAACCUUGAGUUUUGACGUUAACUGCACAAGAAGCACCGGCUAACUCCGUGCCAGCAGCCGCGGUAAUACAGAGAGUGCAAGCGUUAAUCGGAAUUACUGGGCGUAAAGCGCGCGUAGGUGGAUAUUUAAGUCGGAUGUGAAAGCCCUGGGCUCAACCUAGGAAUGGCAUUCGAUACUGGGUAUCUUGAGUAUAGUAGAGGGAAGUGGAACUUCCGGUGUAGCGGUGAAAUGCGUAGAUAUCGGAAAGAACACCAGUGGCGAAGGCGACUUCCUGGACUAAUACUGACACUGAGGUGCGAAAGCGGGGGGAGCAAACAGGAUUAGAUACCCUGGUAGUCCACGCCGUAAACGAUGUCAACUUGGAGGAAUUUAUAAUCCUUUAGUAUCGUAGCUAACGCGAUAAGUUCUCCGCCUGGGGAGUACGGCCGCAAGGUUAAAACUCAAAUGAAUUGACGGGGGCCCGCACAAGCGGUGGAGCAGGUGGUUUAAUUCGAUGCAACGCGAAAAACCUUACCUACUCUUGACAUCCUUGGAAUUUCGCAGAAACGUGAAAGUGCCUUCGGGAGCCAAGAGACAGGUGCUGCAUGGCUGUCGUCAGCUCGUGCCGUGAGAUGUUGGGUUAAGUCCCGUAACGAGCGCAACCCCUAUCUCUAGUUGCCAGCGAUUCGGUCGGGAACAUUAGAGAGACUGCCGGUGAUAAACCGGAGGAAGGUGGGGAUGACGUCAAGUCAUCAUGGCCCUUACGGCCAGGGCUACACACGUGCUACAAUGGAUAAUACAGAGGGUUGCGAACCCGUAAGGAGGAGCUAAUCUCAGAAAAUUAUUCGUAGUCCGGAUUGGAGUCUGCAACUCGACUCCAUGAAGUCGGAAUCGCUAGUAAUCGCGGAUCAGCUACGCCGCGGUGAAUAUGUUCCUGGGCCUUGUACACACCGCCCGUCACAUCAUGAAAGCCGGGAGCACCCGAAGCCUGCGAUUACGUGGUCGAAGGUAAGCUUGGUAAUUGGGAUGAAGUCGUAACAAGGUAACC